rnacentral:rRNA from 1 species
UACGUAGGGUGCAAGCGUUGCCCGGAUUUAUUGGGCGUAAAGGGCGCGUAGGCGGGCAGUCAAGUCUGUGGUGAAAUCCUCCGGCUCAACCGGAGAAUAGCUGGAGAUACUGACUGUCUCGAGGGGGGUAGGGGCAUGUGGAACUUCCGGUGGAGCGGUGAAAUGCGUAGAUAUCGGAAGGAACGCCGGUGGCGAAGGCGGCAUCCUGGACCAAUAUUGACGCUGAGGAGCGAAAGCCAGGGGAGCAAACGGG